GAAAUACCACCCUUGUAGUGUUGAUGUUCUAACGUCGACCCCUAAUCGGGGUUGCGGACAGUGCCUGGUGGGUAGUUUGACUGGGGCGGUCUCCUCCCAAAGAGUAACGGAGGAGCACGAAGGUGGGCUAAUCACGGUUGGACAUCGUGAGGUUAGUGCAAUGGCAUAAGCCCGCUUGACUGCGAGAAUGACAAUUCGAGCAGGUGCGAAAGCAGGUCAUAGUGAUCCGGUGGUUCUGAAUGGAAGGGCCAUCGCUCAACGGAUAAAAGGUACUCCGGGGAUAACAGGCUGAUACCGCCCAAGAGUUCAUAUCGACGGCGGUGUUUGGCACCUCGAUGUCGGCUCAUCACAUCCUGGGGCUGAAGUCGGUCCCAAGGGUAUGGCUGUUCGCCAUUUAAAGUGGUACGCGAGCUGGGUUUAGAACGUCGUGAGACAGUUCGGUCCCUAUCUGCCGUGGGCGUUGGAAGAUUGAAGGGGGCUGCUCCUAGUACGAGAGGACCGGAGUGGACGAACCUCUGGUGUUCGGGUUGUGUCGCCAGACGCAUUGCCCGGUAGCUAAGUUCGGAAUCGAUAACCGCUGAAAGCAUCUAAGCGGGAAGCGAGCCCUGAGAUGAGUCUUCCCUGAUACUUUAAGUAUCCUAAAGGGUUGUCGGAGACUACGACGUUGAUAGGUCAGGUGUGUAAGUGCUGUGAGGCAUUGAGCUAACUGAUACUAAUUGCCCGUGAGGCUUAACCAUACAACACCCAAGGGGUUU
rnacentral:rRNA from 1 species